UGGGGAAUUUUGGACAAUGGGCGAAAGCCUGAUCCAGCAAUGCCGCGUGUGUGAAGAAGGCCUUCGGGUUGUAAAGCACUUUUGUCCGGAAAGAAAUCCUUGGCUCUAAUACAGUCGGGGGAUGACGGUACCGGAAGAAUAAGCACCGGCUAACUACGUGCCAGCAGCCGCGGUAAUACGUAGGGUGCAAGCGUUAAUCGGAAUUACUGGGCGUAAAGCGUGCGCAGGCGGUUUGCUAAGACCGAUGUGAAAAUCCCCGGGCUCAACCUGGGAACUGCAUUGGUGACUGGCAGGCUAGAGUAUGGCAGAGGGGGGUAGAAUUCCACGUGUAGCAGUGAAAUGCGUAGAGAUGUGGAGGAAUACCGAUGGCGAAGGCAGCCCCCUGGGCCAAUACUGACGCUCAUGCACGAAAGCGUGGGGAGCAAACAGGAUUAGAUACCCUGGUAGUCCACGCCCUAAACGAUGUCAACCAGUUGUUGGGGAUUCAUUUCCUUAGUAACGUAGCUAACGCGUGAAGUUGACCGCCUGGGGAGUACGGUCGCAAGAUUAAAACUCAAAUGAAUUGACGGGGUCAUAGCUG
rnacentral:rRNA from 1 species